UUGCCUCAGUACGGCGAGUGAGCGGCAACAGCUCAAAUUUGAAAUCUGGCCUCUUUGGGGUCCGAGUUGUAAUUUGUAGAGGAUGUUUCGGGCACCGCUCCGGUUUAAAUUUCUUGGAACAGAAUGUCAAAGAGGGUGAGAACCCCGUCUUGGACCGGCAGUAGGGCCCAUGUGAAACUCCUUCGACGAGUCGAGUUGUUUGGGAAUGCAGCUCAAAAUGGGUGGUAAAUUUCAUCUAAAGCUAAAUAUUGGCCAGAGACCGAUAGCGCACAAGUAGAGUGAUCGAAAGAUGAAAAGCACUUUGAAAAGAGAGUUAAACAGUACGUGAAAUUGUUGAAAGGGAAGCGCUUGCAACCAGACUUGCGCGCGGCGGUUCCCCCUUCCUUCUGGUUGGGUUAUUCCGCCGUGUCCAGGCCAACAUCGGUUCUGGGGGUCGGUUAAAGGCCUGGGGAAUGUAUCUACCCUUCGGGCGUAGACUUAUAGCCCCGGGUGUCAUGCGACCUCCCGGGACCGAGGAACGCGCUUCGGCUCGGAUGUUGGCGUAAUGGUUGUCAGCGACCCGUCUU
rnacentral:rRNA from 1 species